UGGGGAAUUUUGGACAAUGGGCGCAAGCCUGAUCCAGCAAUGCCGCGUGCAGGAUGAAGGCCUUCGGGUUGUAAACUGCUUUUGUACGGAACGAAAAAGCUCUCUCUAAUACAGGGGGUGAAUGACGGUACCGUAAGAAUAAGUCUCGGCUAACUACGUGCCAGCAGCCGCGGUAAAACGUAGGAGACGAGCGUUAUCCGGAUUUACUGGGCGUAAAGCGCGUGCAGGCGGCAUGGCAAGUUGGAUGUGAAAGCUCCCGGCUUAACUGGGAGAGGUCGUUCAAAACUGCCAAGCUUGAGAGUGGUAGAGGGAAGCGGAAUUCCGGGUGUAGUGGUGAAAUGCGUAGAUAUCCGGAGGAACACCAGUGGCGAAAGCGGCUUCCUGGCCCAUUUCUGACGCUCAGACGCGAAAGCUAGGGUAGCAAACG
rnacentral:rRNA from 1 species